UACGGGUGAGGCAAGCGUUGUUCGGAAUCACUGGGCUUAAAGCGCGUGUAGGCGGCAUGGUAAGUACCUUGUGAAAUCCCGUGGCUCAACUGCGGAAUGGCUUGGUAUACUGCCGUGCUCGAGGAAGGUAGAGGUGCCUGGAACUCUAGGUGGAGCGGUGAAAUGCGUAGAUAUCUAGAGGAACGCCCGUGGCGAAAGCGGGGCACUGGGCCUUUCCUGACGCUGAGACGCGAAAGCGUGGGGAGCAAACGGG
rnacentral:rRNA from 1 species